CCAGUCAAUGUUGACACCACCGC
rnacentral:miRNA from 1 species